rnacentral:sRNA from 3 species
GCAGCGGGCCUUCCAGGCAUCCUCUCCUAAACUCUCAAGGGCCGCUCCUUCACAGGGGCGGCCCUUUUUUAUUUCAACA